UACGUAGGGUGCAAGCGUUAAUCGGAAUUACUGGGCGUAAAGCGUGCGCAGGCGGUUGUGCAAGACAGAUGUGAAAUCCCCGGGCUCAACCUGGGAACUGCAUUUGUGACUGCAUGGCUGGAGUGCGGCAGAGGGGGAUGGAAUUCCGCGUGUAGCAGUGAAAUGCGUAGAUAUGCGGAGGAACACCGAUGGCGAAGGCAAUCCCCUGGGCCUGCACUGACGCUCAUACACGAAAGCGUGGGGAGCAAACAGG
rnacentral:rRNA from 1 species